AAUUCAGUGAAUCAUCGAAUCUUUGAACGCACAUUGCGCCCCUUGGUAUUCCUUGAGGGCAUGCCUGUUCGAGCGUCACU
rnacentral:rRNA from 1 species